rnacentral:other from 1 species
ACCCCCCUGGGGUGUACGUGAUCAUAAGUAUGAUUUUUGAGCCAACACCUCAAAAACGGGAGCCGCUUCUUGCUGCCUGUUGAGCACACUCGCCCUCGCGAGGAGCCUGAUGGCAGCUAGUGGCGCCCACCUGAAGAUUCAGGUUCAAAAGAUCUUGUGACACGGCUCCCCGGGGUCUGC